ACUCGAGUGGCGAACGGGUGAGUAACACGUGGGUGAUCUGCCCUGCACUUCGGGAUAAGCCUGGGAAACUGGGUCUAAUACCGGAUAGGACCACAUUUUGGAUGGUGUGGUGGAAAGUUUUCGGUGUGGGAUGAGCUCGCGGCCUAUCAGCUUGUUGGUGGGGUAAUGGCCUGCCAAGGCGUCGACGGGUAGCCGGCCUGAGAGGGUGUACGGCCACAUUGGGACUGAGAUACGGCCCAG
rnacentral:rRNA from 1 species